rnacentral:rRNA from 1 species
AACGAACGCUGGCGGCGUGCUUAACACAUGCAAGUCGAACGCGAAAGGGACUUCGGUCCUGAGUAAAGUGGCGCACGGGUGAGUAACGCGUAGAUAACCUGUCUUCAUGUCUGGAAUAAUACGCCGAAAGGGGUACUAAUACCGGAUAUUCUUGCUUUUCAUAAGUUAUGCAAGCAAAGGUGGCCUCUGCAUAUGCUACUGCAUGAAGAGGGGUCUGCGUACCAUUAGCUAGUAGGUGGGGUAAUGGCCUACCUAGGCGACGAUGGUUAGCGGGUCUGAGAGGAUGAUCCGCCACACUGGCACUGGAACACGGGCCAGACUCCUACGGGAGGCAGCAGUGAGGAAUAUUGCGCAAUGGGGGAAACCCUGACGCAGCGACGCCGCGUGAGUGAGGAAAGGCCUUCGGGUCGUAAAGCUCUGUUGUCAGAGAAGAACAAGUUGGAGAGUAACUGCUCCAGCCUUGACGGUAUCUGACCAGAAAGCCACGGCUAACUACGUGCCAGCCGCCGC